rnacentral:rRNA from 1 species
GACGAACGCUGGCGGCGCGCUUAACACAUGCAAGUCGAGCGAUGAAAUUUCGACAGAUCCCUUCGGGGUGAAGAUGAAAUGGAUUAGCGGCGGACGGGUGAGUAACACGUGAGUAACCUGCCUUUGACAUUGGGAUAGCCUCGGGAAACUGGGAUUAAUACCAAAUGACACUAACUGAUCACAUGAUCAAUUAGUCAAAGAAAUUCGGUCAAAGAAGGACUCGCGGCUGAUUAGCUAGUUGGUGAGGUAACGGCCCACCAAGGCGACGAUCAGUAGCCGGCCUGAGAGGGUGAUCGGCCACAUUGGAACUGAGACACGGUCCAAACUCCUACGGGAGGCAGCAGUGGGGAAUAUUGCACAAUGGGGGAAACCCUGAUGCAGCGACGCCGCGUGAGCGAAGAAGGCCUUCGGGUCGUAAAGCUCUUUUAUGAGGGAAGAUAAUGACGGUACCUCAAGAAAAAGCCCCGGCUAACUACGUG